AUACAGUGGUCACCAUUUCUCCUCUUCCCGCGGGUGUCGUACGAGGCGAUUAAGAGAACAAUAGCGGAGAACAGGCAGCGGUGUCCUCUGUGCUACUACUACUAUCUACUGCGAUCACCAACCGUCAGCCCAGCGUGAUGAUUAUUGGCAAAGCCUUCCGCUGCAAGAGCCCUUUUAAUUCAGCAGUGGACUGUUAUAGACUUGGAAAGUUUUCUAUGGAGAAAAGACCAGAAGCAGUGAAUGGACAAUAUAUGAUACGAACAGAUACACUUCUCGCAUUGGCAACUUUCACUCUUGACCAUCGAGCGCGCUUUUUGUGUACAAACUGACGCUGUACUGUGAAACUUGGCACGGUCCUCGCGAUUCUGGAGGAUGUAACAUUUAUUUCUGGAGACCUUGGCCAUGAUACCUAUGCUGACAACAAUUUUCAGCUGGUUACAAAAUAAAAUAACGCAUUUACGCUUGGUCUGAAGAUUUUAGGUUAUAAUUAAAAUUAUUUUCGAGGUCGACAAACAACCUUCGACGCAAAAUAAGAACGAAGUACUUAAUAAAAUACGGCAAAAUCUUCUAAUGGCUACGCUUUGUGCAAGCAUAGAUAUGACAUCAUUCACACUUGGUCACCA